rnacentral:rRNA from 1 species
AAAUUGAAGAGUUUGAUCAUGGCUCAGAUUGAACGCUGGCGGCAGGCUUAACACAUGCAAGUCGAACGGUAACAGGAAGCAGCUUGCUGCUUUGCUGACGAGUGGCGGACGGGUGAGUAAUGUCUGGGAAACUGCCUGAUGGAGGGGGAUAACUACUGGAAACGGUGGCUAAUACCGCAUAACGUCGCAAGACCAAAGAGGGGGACCUUCGGGCCUCUUGCCAUCAGAUGUGCC